rnacentral:tRNA from 1 species
GGUUGUUUGGCCGAGCGGUCUAAGGCGCCUGAUUCAAGAAGUUUUCUUGACUGUGGAACACCACAGGAAUACUCAGGUAUCGUAAGAUGCAAGAGUUCGAAUCUCUUAGCAACCA